UACAAAAACAUCACAAUUGGAUAACUAUAAAUGGGAACAAAUUUUUAAUGAAAUUCGAAAAGCAAUAAUUGGAUUUUCAAUUAAACUAAUAAUUUGUCAUGGACUAGUCAAAAUUCCUGAAAUAAAAAGGAGAAAAGAUAUAAUUGAAGAAGCUCAUUCAUCAACAAUAGGAGGACAUAAAGGAGUAACAAAGACUUAUAACAGAAUUAGACAAAAUUUUUAUUGGGAAAAUCUCAAAUUGGAAAUUCAAAAUUACAUCAAACAAUGUUUACAAUGUCAAAUCAAAAAGUUAGUCCGAGUAAAAACAAAACAACCAAUGACAAUAACAGACACACCAUAUUCAUCAUUUGAAAAAAUAUCAAUGGAUAUAGUUGGACCGUUACCUGAAACCACCCAAGGAAAUCUUUAUAUCCUAACAGUCCAAGAUCAUUUAACAAAAUUUUCCCUUGCUAUUCCUUUAAAAUCUAUUUCUGCAACGAAUGUGGCGAAUGCAUUAUUAAAAAAUUUCAUUUGUAUCUUUGGUGCUCCUAAAGCUGUAUUAACGGAUCAAGGAAGUAAUUUCAUGAGUAAUUUAAUGAAGAGAUUUGCAAAAAAAUUUAGAAUUAAACAAUACAGAACUACAGCAUUUUAUCCACAAGCAAAUGGAGCUUUAGAAAGAUCACAUUUAGUAUUAAUUGAAUAUUUGAAACAAUAUGUAGAUAAAUUCACAGAAUGCGACGAAUUAUUAGAAUACGCUACAUUUUCAUAUAACACAAGUAAACAUGAAUCAACUGGAUAUACUCCAUAUGAGUUGGUGUUUAGAAAAAUUGCCAGACAACCAUCCAGUGAAGUCAAUAAUGAUCAAGAAGAAGAAAAAACAUAUGAUGAUUAUUUAAGCAAAUUAAUAACAAAUAUUCAUGAUCUUCAAAAAUUGGCAAGAGAAUGUUUAAUAGCUUCAAAAUUUAAAUCAAAAAGAUAUUACGAUCAAAAAUUAAAUCCACAAGAAUUUCAAAUUAAUGACCAAGUUUUUCUCUUAUGUGAACCAAAACGAGGAAAACUUGGAGAUCAAUAUUCCGGACCCCACAUGAUAAUAGAUAUUUUACCCAACGGUAAUAUUAAACUUCUAUUUAAAGGAAAAUCAAGAAUUGUCCAUCCAAACAAAAUCAGGAAGUCUAGAAUUGUGACUAAGUAGCAAUAGGGAGGUUGGACUUGUACUGCGCAACAUCUGCAACCUCCCAGCUCGAAAAUGAAAAUCGUAAUUUUCUUGACAGUGAUUAUCUGCGUACAAGAAAUGGAUACUUUAACUGGAUACGACUGCGGAUCACCCAAUUUAAAUGUCACUGCGUUAUCACUAAUAGACAUAGAAGAAUGUAAUAUUCCAUUAACUGAACCACAGAUAGAUAACACAUACAUACAAUUACUUCAACUUUCAAGAUUUGAUACUAUAAAAGUGAUACAAUGUAAAAUAUUAAUAUCAAGAACUAUAUAUUAUUGCGGAAUGCAUUCCCAUAUCUCUACAGUAACAAAUUCACAAGCAACAUAUAUAACGGAAACAUCUUUUGACCAAUGUAAAAAUAUGCAUGAGACUGGAACAUUAAUUUGGGACUCUAACCAUAUUAUAAAUGGAUUAAAACAAAAUCAUACUAUUUCACGUUCGAUAACUUUUGCUGGAUCUACAGAUGGACAAUGUUUUGCAGUAACUACAGAUGGACAAUGUUUUGGUGCACAAUAUUCAGAUAUUAUCAAUAUUCAGAUUAUGGAACUUGGCAAAACGUGAUAGUACAAGGAACAAUAAUAAUAACUUUACAAUCAUAUAAUGCACCAAUAAAUCUUGAAACCAACCAAAUCCAUUUAAAUUCUGGAACAAAAUGUCAAUAUUCGGACAAAAGAUGUUCAGAUAUUGAAGGAAAAAGUAAUUUUUGGGAAAGCAUACCACAUGAUUUCUGUAAAUUUAAUCAUUAUGAUUUAUUAUAUGAAGGCAAGGCGGAAAAAAUUAUGGAUCCUGUAAAUGAAAAAUUAACAAUUGUAUAUUCGUUAUCUACAGAAGAUGUGACAUUUGCCUUGACAAAAACGGGUGAAGAGGUUCUUUGCGGAUAUAACUUAAUCAAAACGGAACAUCCAAAAUUAUUAAUUCUUGAAACUAAAAAGGGAGAUUCAUUUGCUCAAAAAAGACGAAAAAUCAUCGAAAACGUUGACAUGUUUGCUUAUAUAAAUUCAAAAUUUGUUUAUGUGGAAAAACAUAUACGCACACAAAUUAAAUACUUAUACAGAGACAUACUCCAACAACGUUGCAAUCUGGAACAACAAAUAAUCAAGAACGCACUCAGCAUAGCGAUACAUUCACCUGACGAAUUCGCUUACCAAUUCAUGAAAGGGCCUGGUUAUAUGGCAACAAUAUCAGGAGAAGCAGUAUAUAUAAUUAAAUGCACCCCAGUGGAAGUAACCAUCCGAUAUACCGAUAAAUGUUAUCAUUAGUUACCAGUAUUUAAAGGAAACGAAACAUAUUUUAUGGCUCCAAGAACACAUAUCCUACUACAAACAGGAACACAAAUCACGUGCAAUAAAAUAAUACCACCAUUAUACUUUUUAACUGACGCAUGGUACCGAAUUUCACCAACUCCAGAACUGGCAGUACCACCAACCAAAAUUAAACCUAUGACACAACCAACGUGGCAAUAUAAAAAUCCUGGAUCUUUGGCGAUAAGCGGAAUUUAUAGUAGUAAAGAUUUAGAAAACUUAAGGGAUUAUAUCAUGUUCCUAGCUGAAAAAGGAGGAAUUUUAAACACAAUGGCACGAGGAGUUCAAGGCAAACAAACCGAACAACAAGGCAUCUCUCUAUCACACCUGUUGGAUGAAGCAACAAUAAGAAAAAUUGUUAGCAGUACUUGGGAAAAAAUCUGGGGAGCAUUCAUCAUUUUUGGAAACGCCAGCGCAGGAAUAAUCGGACUCUACUUCUGCCUACGAGCAAUCAAAUUAAUAAUUGACACAGUUAUUCAUGGAUAUGCUAUUCACUCAAUCUAUGGAUGGUCAAUAUAUUUAAUUGGAGCAAUUUGGGACUCAGUAACAAAUCUACUACUGCAUCUUGGUAAGCGAAUUGUACCACGAGAAGAAAAUAGACCAUCAUUAGAAAAACAAAAUGAGGAAAAUUCUGGACCAAAUGAAAUUCCUUCAGAACAAUCAAACAAGAGACAUUUAACAGUGGCACUAACACAGACACCUAAUACAAAUACUAGCAUCAAUAUACAACCUAUAAACACAGAAAAUAUAAAUGAUAAUUUACAAAAUGUUAGCAUGCAAGAAACAAUCCGCAACGAACCCUCUUGCUCUAAUAUAUAUCCUAGGAUAUAAAAAAAAGAGAGAAAGAGAGAAAUCUUAAAUUAACUUAAAUAAAGUUUAGAAUUCAAAGGAUAAAACGAAAGCAUGUUAUCACGUGUAAGGGUACUCUUUCAUUCUGGUAUCACAUAGCCAAAACAUAAACCCUCCAGUCACAGUCAAUCGGUUCCUCUCAGUCAACGCUCGACAGCCCAAGCAGUCGCUAGCAGCAAAAAGACAGCACUAACAGUUAAAACAGUUAAAACAGUUAAAACAGUUAAAACAGUUAAAAAAGUUAAAACAGUUAAAACUAUUUCGUGUAAAGGAAACAGAAACUUUAAUCCAAAUUAUGAAGAUCCCAUCUGGACAAGAAAAUAAGGAUUUCAAUGAAUAUUAUGGGCCUAUUGAUGGGAUCCUACCAAUCGAACAUAUUGACACAUAUGCUCUAUUAAUAGCUAGCAUAUGUAUUAAACAACUCAAUAAUGAAGAAAAAGUAUACAUAUGCAAGGAACACCCGAAAACAAAACUGUGUGAGGAAUGCUAUAAUCAACUAGGACAACCAGAACAUUACAAAUUACUAGAAACGAAACAUACCCUACACGUUGUGGUAUUAUUAGACAGAACAAUAGCUUAUAAAUGCCAUAAGUGCAAAAAAACAAUUAUGAGAAGAAACAGUGCCGCCAGACAAUGUCGCGAAUGUAUUGAAGAAUUUGUAUUAGAUCCCGACAUAUUAGCAUUAGAAGAUUAAAUCCUAAAGAUCCUUCUUCGUUCCGAGUUAAAACAUAAUUCACACAAACCAGUCCGUCCCGGGGUAAAUUAGUUAAAUCUAUUGACCUCAAAAAGGACUAACUUACAUACAUUCACGUUUCACGUCGUGACACCACAUUGCUGGCAAAGAGUGAGUUUUCUA